rnacentral:tRNA from 1 species
GCCGGAAUGGUGGAAUUGGUAGACACAAGGGACUUAAAAUCCCUCGGCCUAAUUGGCUGUACGAGUUCAAGUCUCGUUUCCGGCA